AUUGAACGCUGGCGGCAUGCCUUACACAUGCAAGUCGAACGGUAACGCGGGGCAACCUGGCGACGAGUGGCGAACGGGUGAGUAAUGCAUCGGAACGUGCCUGGUAGUGGGGGAUAACUGCUCGAAAGAGCAGCUAAUACCGCAUACGACCUGAGGGUGAAAGGGGGGGAUCGCGAGACCUCUCGCUAUCAGAGCGGCCGAUGUCGGAUUAGCUAGUUGGUGGGGUAAAGGCCCACCAAGGCGACGAUCCGUAGCUGGUCUGAGAGGACGACCAGCCACACUGGGGCUGAGACACGGCCCAGACUCCUACGGGAGGCAGCAGUGGGGAAUUUUGGACAAUGGACGCAAGUCUGAUCCAGCCAUGCCGCGUGCGGGAAGAAGGCCUUCGGGUUGUAAACCGCUUUUGUCAGGGAAGAAAUCUUCUGGGCUAAUACCCUGGGAGGAUGACGGUACCUGAAGAAUAAGCACCGGCUAACUACGUGCCAGCCGCCGCCGUAAGAC
rnacentral:rRNA from 1 species